GGGCUGGGGCUCAGCGGUAGAGCAUUCAUCUCUCAUGUGUGAGGCCCUGGGUUCAAUCCUCAGCACCACA
rnacentral:tRNA from 1 species